CCAAUAGCGUAUAUUAAAGUUGCUGCAGUUAAAAAGCUCGUAGUUGAAUUUCGGGACCAUCAUGUCGGUCGUGCCUCGGUACGUACUGGCAUUGUUGGUUUCUCCCUUCUGACGAACCAUGAUGUCAUUUAUUUGGUGUUGUGGGAAAUCAGGACUGUUACUUUGAAAAAAUUAGAGUGUUUAAAGCAGGCUCACGCUUGAAUACAUUAGCAUGGAAUAAUGAAAUAGGACGUUUGAUUCUAUUUUGUUGGUUUCUAGGAUCGACGUAAUGAUUAAUAGGGAUAGUUGGGGGCAUUAGUAUUCAAUUGUCAGAGGUGAAAUUCUUGGAUUUAUUGAAGACUAACUACUGCGAAAGCAUUUGCCAAGGAUGUUUUCAUUAAUCAAGAACGAAAGUUAGGGGAUCGAAGACGAUCAGAUACCGUCGUAGUCUUAACCAUAAACUAUGCCGACUAGGGAUCGGAUGAUGUUAAUUUUUUAAUGACUCAUUCGGCGCCUUACG
rnacentral:misc_RNA from 1 species